rnacentral:rRNA from 1 species
GACGAACGCUGGCGGCGUGCUUGACACAUGCAAGUCGAACGGAAAGGCCCUGCUUUUGUGGGGUGCUCGAGUGGCGAACGGGUGAGUAACACGUGAGUAACCUGCCCUUGACUUUGGGAUAACUUCAGGAAACUGGGGCUAAUACCGGAUAGGAGCUCCUGCUGCAUGGUGGGGGUUGGAAAGUUUCGGCGGUUGGGGAUGGACUCGCGGCUUAUCAGCUUGUUGGGGGGGUAGUGGCUUACCAAGGCUUUGACGGGUAGCCGGCCUGAGAGGGUGACCGGCCACAUUGGGACUGAGAUACGGACCAGACUCCUACGGGAGGCAGCAGUGGGGAAUAUUGCACAAUGGGCGGAAGCCUGAUGCAGCAACGCCGCGUGCGGGAUGACGGCCUUCGGGUUGUAAACCGCUUUCGCCUGUGACGAAGCGUGAGUGACGGUAAUGGGUAAAGAAGCACCGGCUAACUACGUG